AGACCCGAAACCCGGUGAUCUAGCCAUGGGCAGGUUGAAGGUUGGGUAACACUAACUGGAGGACCGAACCGACUAAUGUUGAAAAAUUAGCGGAUGACCUGUGGCUGGGGGUGAAAGGCCAAUCAAACCGGGAGAUAGCUGGUUCUCCCCGAAAGCUAUUUAGGUAGCGCCUCGUGAAUUCAUCUCCGGGGGUAGAGCACUGUUUCGGCUAGGGGGCCAUCCCGGCUUACCAACCCGAUGCAAACUGCGAAUACCGGAGAAUGUUAUCACGGGAGACACACGGCGGGUGCUAACGUCCGUCGUGAAGAGGGAAACAACCCAGACCGCCAGCUAAGGUCCCAAAGUCAUGGUUAAGUGGGAAACGAUGUGGGAAGGCCCAGACAGCCAGGAUGUUGGCUUAGAAGCAGCCAUCAUUUAAAGAAAGCGUAAUAGCUCACUGGUCGAGUCGGCCUGCGCGGAAGAUGUAACGGGGCUAAACCAUGCACCGAAGCUGCGGCAGCGAACGUAUCACCCAAGACAACUUUACGGAGUUGACGAUUGACGGAGCGAAGCGACGUCAAAGCGUUCAUUAAAGUCGAGUUGGCUUAGGGAUACGUUCGUUGGGUAGGGGAGCGUUCUGUAAGCCUGUGAAGGUGUGUCGUGAGGCAUGCUGGAGGUAUCAGAAGUGCGAAUGCUGACAUAAGUAACGAUAAAGCGGGUGAAAAGCCCGCUCGCCGGAAGACCAAGGGUUCCUGUCCAACGUUAAUCGGGGCAGGGUGAGUCGACCCCUAAGGCGAGGCCGAAAGGCGUAGUCGAUGGGAAACGGGUUAAUAUUCCCGUACUUGGUGUUACUGCGAAGGGGGGACGGAGAAGGCUAUGUUGGCCGGGCGACGGUUGUCCCGGUUUAAGCGUGUAGGUGUGUGUUCCAGGUAAAUCCGGUUCACUUUAACACUGAGGCGUGACGACGAGGCACUACGGUGCUGAAGCAACAAAUGCCCUGCUUCCAGGAAAAGCCUCUAAGCAUCAGGUAACAUCAAAUCGUACCCCAAACCGACACAGGUGGUCAGGUAGAGAAUACCAAGGCGCUUGAGAGAACUCGGGUGAAGGAACUAGGCAAAAUGGUGCCGUAACUUCGGGAGAAGGCACGCUGACACGUAGGUGAAGUGAUUUACUCAUGGAGCUGAAGUCAGUCGAAGAUACCAGCUGGCUGCAACUGUUUAUUAAAAACACAGCACUGUGCAAACACGAAAGUGGACGUAUACGGUGUGACGCCUGCCCGGUGCCGGAAGGUUAAUUGAUGGGGUCAGCGCAAGCGAAGCUCCUGAUCGAAGCCCCGGUAAACGGCGGCCGUAACUAUAACGGUCCUAAGGUAGCGAAAUUCCUUGUCGGGUAAGUUCCGACCUGCACGAAUGGCGUAAUGAUGGCCAGGCUGUCUCCACCCGAGACUCAGUGAAAUUGAACUCGCUGUGAAGAUGCAGUGUACCCGCGGCAAGACGGAAAGACCCCGUGAACCUUUACUAUAGCUUGACACUGAACAUUGAGCCUUGAUGUGUAGGAUAGGUGGGAGGCUUUGAAGUGUGGACGCCAGUCUGCAUGGAGCCGACCUUGAAAUACCACCCUUUAAUGUUUGAUGUUCUAACGUGGACCCGUAAUCCGGGUUGCGGACAGUGUCUGGUGGGUAGUUUGACUGGGGCGGUCUCCUCCUAAAGAGUAACGGAGGAGCACGAAGGUUGGCUAAUCCUGGUCGGACAUCAGGAGGUUAGUGCAAUGGCAUAAGCCAGCUUGACUGCGAGCGUGACGGCGCGAGCAGGUGCGAAAGCAGGUCAUAGUGAUCCGGUGGUUCUGAAUGGAAGGGCCAUCGCUCAACGGAUAAAAGGUACUCCGGGGAUAACAGGCUGAUACCGCCCAAGAGUUCAUAUCGACGGCGGUGUUUGGCACCUCGAUGUCGGCUCAUCACAUCCUGGGGCUGAAGUAGGUCCCAAGGGUAUGGCUGUUCGCCAUUUAAAGUGGUACGCGAGCUGGGUUUAGAACGUCGUGAGACAGUUCGGUCCCUAUCUGCCGUGGGCGCUGGAGAACUGAGGGGGGCUGCUCCUAGUACGAGAGGACCGGAGUGGACGCAUCACUGGUGUUCGGGUUGUCAUGCCAAUGGCACUGCCCGGUAGCUAAAUGCGGAAGAGAUAAGUGCUGAAAGCAUCUAAGCACGAAACUUGCCCCGA
rnacentral:rRNA from 4 species